AUGGUCUCGAUCUCCUGACCUCGUGAUCCGCCCACCUCGGCCUCCCAAAGUGCUGGGAUUACAGGCGUGAGCCACCGCGCCCGGCCGACACCUCCAUUCUUGAAAAGCACUUUCGAGAUUUAUUUUCGAGGACACCGCCAAGACACAACUGUUCUCUCGGGGAGCUCCUUCUCGCUGCUCUUGUGUGUGUUCACAGCAGCUUCCCACCUGGAGCAGGGGAAGCCCCGAGCGGCUGGACCCACACCUGCAGCAAAGCCAAUGACCACCCCCACUUCCCACCUCCUGGUCCCCACUCUUACUCCAUGGCUUUUGGGAUGCUAUGGACAGACGGAGAAGCAGGAGGUUCUGAACUGAAAUCCUGAGCAAGUUCCCAAUGUCCUGAGACCCUCAGGGCCGCAUGGUCCCUCCACACCUGGCAGUGGAAUCCAGAGGCACCGUGCUCAGAGGCACCGUGUCUCACCUGUGUUCCCAACACUCCACCCUCACCACGAUGUUCUGUAAGAGGAUGGACACAGAGGCAGUGCAUCUUAAAAUCCUUCUGGCUCCUAACAUUUGGUGAGUUCCAACCAACAGGCUGAGCUACUCAAUCACACUUUCACUUCUUUUGGCUCUUUGGUGAAAUCCAAAUAAGACCUGUAUUUCAGUUAAUAGUAUCGAGCCAUGUCAAUUUCCUGAUUUGGACAAUGGGCAGUGGGCAGGAAAGGUGAUGUCACUGGCUGGAGCUGGGGUAACGGAACUCUGCUAUUUUUGUGACUUCCUGUGAGUUUUAAACUAUUUUAAAAUGAAAUGAGAAAGCAAACAGCAGCAACGAACUCUCUGGGCCCCUGCAAUGUAGGUUGUCUAAGAGAAAGCUCCGGCUUCAUGAAUAAGCACAAUAUGCCUGGGGCAGGAAGAGGGCAAGCAGCUCGGGGAAUUAGGACUGAGCGGCUGGAGUGCAAUGGUGUGAUCUCGGCUGACUGCAACCUCCGCCCUCGGGUUCAAGCGAUUCUCCUGCCUCAACCUCCCGAGUAGCUGGGAAUACAGGCAGCUGUCUUGGGAGUGAUGCUGGAGUUUGGAUCAUAUUCCUUGCGCCCGUGGCUCCAAAUGCCCAUCAUUCCUCAGUACUGGGCAAAGGUUGUUCAGCCUCAGGUGAAGUGAGACAAAGAAGGACGUCAAGAGGUCUUGCUGGGUUUAAUGGGUUUCAUCUGGGACGGGUUACAAUGCAUUUUGUGUAAUCAUCUCUUUUCAUUAAGUGGCAGGCAUUGUAGAUACAGUUCAGUCAUUCUUUUUUAUGGCAUGUUUAGUUGGCAAAAUAAAAUGUUA